AUCAUGAUGCACACGGAUCACUCAUGCCAUGGAUAUGAUUCUUCAAGAUCAUACUUUGCUGUUCUUCUCUGAUGGUAUCAGAGCUCUUCUUUUGAAGAGCUCUGUUGCGCCUCGGGACCCUAAUUUUUUCCCUUUUCCCUCUUUUUCUUUUUCUUUCUCUCGUCUUCCUUUUCUUUGUUCCUCUUUUCUUUUACAGGAUAUUCGACGAUGACGGAGGAACACACUCAAUCUUCCGGUCUCUUGUAUCUCCAUCCAAGCGAAAGUCCUGCAAUUUCUCUCGUUUCC
rnacentral:lncRNA from 1 species